rnacentral:rRNA from 1 species
AGUCGAGCGAGCUUGCCUAGAUGAUUUUAGUGCUUGCACUAAAUGAAACUAGAUACAAGCGAGCGGCGGACGGGUGAGUAACACGUGGGUAACCUGCCCAAGAGACUGGGAUAACACCUGGAAACAGAUGCUAAUACCGGAUAACAACACUAGACGCAUGUCUAGAGUUUGAAAGAUGGUUCUGCUAUCACUCUUGGAUGGACCUGCGGUGUAUUAGCUAGUUGGUAAGGUAACGGCUUACCAAGGCAAUGAUGCAUAGCCGAGUUGAGAGACUGAUCGGCCACAUUGGGACUGAGACACGGCCCAAACUCCUACGGGAGGCAGCAGUAGGGAAUCUUCCACAAUGGACGAAAGUCUGAUGGAGCAACGCCGCGUGAGUGAAGAAGGGUUUCGGCUCGUAAAGCUCUGUUGGUAGUGAAGAAAGAUAGAGGUAGUAACUGGCCUUUAUUUGACGGUAAUUACUUAGAAAGUCACGGCUAACUACGUGCCAGCAGCCGCGGUAAUACGUAGGUGGCAAGCGUUGUCCGGAUUUAUUGGGCGUAAAGCGAGUGCAGGCGGUUCAAUAAGUCUGAUGUGAAAGCCUUCGGCUCAACCGGAGAAUUGCAUCAGAAACUGUUGAACUUGAGUGCAGAAGAGGAGAGUGGAACUCCAUGUGUAGCGGUGGAAUGCGUAGAUAUAUGGAAGAACACCAGUGGCGAAGGCGGCUCUCUGGUCUGCAACUGACGCUGAGGCUCGAAAGCAUGGGUAGCGAACAGGAUUAGAUACCCUGGUAGUCCAUGCCGUANACGAUGAGUGCUNAGUGUUGGGA